rnacentral:rRNA from 1 species
AUACGGAGGGGGCUAGCGUUGUUCGGAAUUACUGGGCGUAAAGCGUACGUAGGCGGACUGAUCAGUUGGGGGUGAAAUCCCAGGGCUUAACCCUGGAACUGCCUUCAAUACUGUCAGUCUUGAGUUUGGGAGAGGUGAGUGGAAUUCCUGGUGUAGAGGUGAAAUUCAUAGAUAUUAGGAGGAACACCAGUGGCUAAGGCGGCUCACUAGCCCAUUACUGACGCUGAGGUACGAAAGCGUGGGGAGCAAACAGGAUUAGAAACACUAGUAGUCC